UUUAGGCUAAUGUUUGGGAUUGUAGAAAAAUUGCGUUACGUGCGACGUUGGAAAAAUGUCCUAUUUGUUUCUGUACGUAAUAUUACGUUCCGCAUGUCGUGGUUACGAUAUAUUUUCUGCGGUCCCACCGGAGAACGCAGAAGUAUAUCCCUAUAUGCUUUUUUCUCAACUCCAUUUUAUCUAAUAGCGUUAGAUAAACCUCAAUACCAAACUAAGCGUUAAUGUUGGAAUGUCAAUAAAUACAAAUACUCAAAAUUUUAUUCAAAUCUGAAUCUUAAUGAAGCGGAUUUAUCCAAUAAUGAAUGGAUAUAAUUUCAGAUAAGAAUAUAAAAUCGAAAACCCGACGGAUUUUUAUUCGAGUGUGGAUCUUGAAUGCAUUCGUGCUCCUAAGCCGUUAUCGAUGAUGGAGCUUCUAAAUCAACGAUCGGCUUCGUUAGACUUGAUCUAGCAUAUUUGAAAUAUUUAGAAAAUAAAUUAUGCGAAUUUUUGAUAUCAUUUACCUAAUGAUUAAAAGGGUUUAAAAUCAACGGCCAAAAAUAAAAAUCUCAUAAAAAAGUGAUAAUAUAGUACUAAAAUUUUUGAUCAGAGAUCUUGAUCUUAUAGUAAAUAGUAAAAAAUAAUUUAUCACAAUUUCAUCUGAUUUGAAUACUUCUACACCGUUAAACUUCCAAUCAAUAUACAUCAACCUUUAAAAAUUAUUGAUUUUGAACCUUUUCGAUCACUAAGUAAAUGAUAUCGAAAAAUCGCAAAAUAUAUUUUCUACGUACUUCAGAUAUAUUAGAUCAAAUUUAAUGGAACCGAUUGUUGAUUCGAAAGUCCCGUCAUCGAAAACGGCUUAGGAGCACGGAGGCCUCCAUGCUCCUAAUAGCACACAACAC
rnacentral:lncRNA from 1 species